rnacentral:tRNA from 1 species
GCGUCUAUAGUGUAAAGGUAGCACGAUUUCCUUCCAAGCAUUAGGAUCGGGUUCGAUUCCCGAUAGGCGCA